GACGAACGCUGGCGGCGUGCUUAACACAUGCAAGUCGAACGAAGAGCGAUGGAAGCUUGCUUCCAUCAAUCUUAGUGGCGAACGGGUGAGUAACGCGUAAUCAACCUGCCCUUCAGAGGGGGACAACAGUUGGAAACGACUGCUAAUACCGCAUACGAUCUAAACUCGGCAUCGAGGAUAGAUGAAAGGUGGCCUCUACAUGUAAGCUAUCACUGAAGGAGGGGAUUGCGUCUGAUUAGCUAGUUGGAGGGGUAACGGCCCACCAAGGCGAUGAUCAGUAGCCGGUCUGAGAGGAUGAACGGCCACAUUGGGACUGAGACACGGCCCAGACUCCUACGGGAGGCAGCAGUGGGGAAUCUUCCGCAAUGGACGAAAGUCUGACGGAGCAACGCCGCGUGAGUGAUGACGGCCUUCGGGUUGUAAAGCUCUGUUAAUCGGGACGAAAGGCCUUCUUGCGAAUAGUGAGAAGGAUUGACGGUACCGGAAUAGAAAGCCACGGCUAACUACGUG
rnacentral:rRNA from 1 species